rnacentral:lncRNA from 1 species
UGAAAAGAAAUAUAAUACAAAUAUAUGAAAUUUAUUUCAUUUUUAUGAAAAAAUGUAAAAAAAAAACAUUUUCUUAGUGAAUGUUUGUUUUAUUGAAUUGCCUAAUAAUAAACAUGAACAGAAUUUUUAUAAAUGUGUAUAAAAUUUAUAAAAUUUUUUUGAAAAAGAUAUGCAAUAGAUAAAUAAUAUAAACAAAUACUAAAUAUUAUAUAUUACAUUCUUUUACUAUACAGUAGAACGGGUUGGCAACUUACAACCCACAGGUCACCGAGUGACCCACGGCAACAUUUGAAGCGAUCCAUCAAAGAAUUUGAUUGCAAUUAGAUUUGCACUUGUUAGUUUAAAAUUGAAUUCUAAAGAAAAAUUUUUAAUACGUCACUGACAGAUUACAUGGGGGCAGUGACAGUUCAACCACACCUAUACUUUGAAUGUGGACUGACUGAACACAUUUUGAUCUGUUGCACAACUACAUCAACCCAGUCCCAAAAUGUGAACUUUCAAUAUACUAAAGUCUGACCUGGGGUAAAAAAGGUUGCCAAUCACUCAGUAGAAUAUAAAAGAAACAAAAGAAUAUAAAUAUAUACAAGAAAUUUUACUGUAUUCUAUAUUCAAUAAAUAUAUACAAAUACCAUACCAUAUAAGUUAAACUAUUCCAAGUUAAUAAUUUAUCCUUGUUUCAAGGAUUACCAUACCAAGAUAAACAUUCAAUGAUACUUUACAUUCUUCAUGAUAAUAUUUUAUUUCUCUAUGCUUAUUUUUGCUGUAAUACAAUUUGCACCAUUGAAAUAUAAUUUUUCUCUCUUGCAUGGCAGAAAAAUGCCUUUCUCUGUCAGAAAGUUUAUCUUAUUGUUUCCUGCCUCCUGUUGGUUUUGGAACAUGAUUUUGUAAUAUUGACUGAAUUAUACAUCAUGCCAGAAGUUAGCAAGGAGCACUUGGUGAUUAUAGGAUUUAUAUAUAAUUGAAACAAUGAAUAUACCAGUGACUAGCAUAUAGAAAAAACUUUUAUAUUACUUAACAGAUUUUUGCAUGGAAGAAUAGACAUGGUUAAUGCUAUCACAACAAUUUACCCUCCCAUGUAUUUAUGCUAUUCGAUAAUACAAGGUUUAUAUAUCAUUUCUUCAGUUUCCUUAUCUUUCUUUCCUGUUGGCUUGAAUGUACUAACAAACACAGUAAUAAUUAUAUAUAUUUCUUUUUUGUUCUUCUGGGUAGACUUGAAUAUCUUUUUAGAAGCUUCUAUUUCAUCAAGUUUUGUUGUUGGGAAAGUUUUGGACAUGCCUGAUCUGUUUUUCACAUGUACAUUUGUUCAUUGAGUAAUUUCCUGACAAGUGUUGAUCUUGAGAAAAACAGUUGACAUACUCUGUAAUUUUCCCCAAGGAGAGGUUCCAUCAAAAUUAGUUUUUUUUUUUUCCUUUUUAGUUGUUUUGUUCCUAUGCAUAAAAUAAAGUUCCACACAGCUAAGACUUGCAAAUCAUUCAUAACUUUUGAUGAUGAACUUAACUCAUUUUGAUGGAAUAUACUGUUUGAAUCUGAGCCAGUCUUUGACUUGUCUAUACAGACAUGAGUGAAAUGACAAUACUGCCCCAUAUUUUGGUAAAUGACCGAAAAUAUGAAAAUUUACUUAUUGCAAAUAUUUGCUAAUAAAACUAAUGUAAUUCUUCUGUGGAUUGCUGUAUCUUUAAUAAAAUUAUCUAAGAAUUGCCUAUUGAAAACAAUAUCAUGCCAAUUUAUUUUAGCUCUAUAUUUAAUUAUGAAUGCUUCUGAUAAAUUUUGAGGUUUUGCCAUCUCAUUCCAAUUAGUAAAAUCUUUCAGUUGUUCAAUUGUUUUUUCUGAUACUUUUUCACGUCUAGCAAUCAAUGUUAUAUCAAGCAAUGUUGCAAAUGGGUCUUUAUUAAACAUUUC